GAAUGUCUGGAUUUGCCUUGCGAUGUUAACGCCGUCUGCACAAACACGUACGGGUCGUUCACCUGCCAAUGUAAUGCCGGUUUGAGUGGCGAUGGCUUCACAUGCCACGUGUGUAAUUCUGGCUACUCUGUCUACGGUGGCUACUGCUACAGAAUAUCCCCGGGCCCCGGUAACGCUCUACAGGGGCUGAAUUACUGCGCCGAUCAAGAUGCGAUAGUAGCCGAACCAAAGAGCCAAGAAGAGCACGACUACAUCAAAUCAUUUUUAUCUGAAACCACCUGGAUUGGAAUGGCUGACCUUGACAAUGACGGCACAUAUACGUACGUCAGUGACGAUACGCCAGUAGGCUUUACCUCAUUGGUCAAUCCAUGGUGGGGAAAUGGCCUAUGCGUGGUAAUGGAGAGCACGGAAUCUUAUAACUGGCUCCUGACAGACUGCACGAACACACAUCCAGUUGUCUGUCAACAAGACCAUGACGAGUGCCACGACUUUUUGGUGUCCCCGUGUGACAUCAACGCCAACUGCACCAACACCUACGGAUUCUAUACCUGCCAGUGUCGGCCUGGUUUCCCCGGUGACGGCUUCUUUUGUGACGCUUUCACCUUUGUGUACCUGGCAUUUCAACUGACGGACCUGGACUUUGCCACCGUUACGGCGACGCAGAGCAGCAUUGACACCUUCAAACU